rnacentral:lncRNA from 1 species
GUUGAAUCUACAGUGAGAAGAGGAUGGAGAUAGUGCCUCUACCAUUAGGCAUGGAAUUUGAACCUUGAGGCAGGAGGACAAAGACAGAGUCAGCCUGCCACUGAACACAUCAACAAUGGCUUUCAGAAAUCAUGAAGCAGAGACAUGGUUCAUUGAAUUUGCUUUUAGGCAAAGAAUUUUCUGGAGGUUAAGGUAAUCAGACCACAAGAAACUACAUUCAGACAGAAGGCCCAGAAAUCCUGGACUAUGAACUGGACAUAUUUAUUUGGAUCAUUUGGGGAGAUAAAAAAAUUACUAAAAAUAAUUAUACCAGAAAAUUAUGGAUCAAUAAUCAAAAUUACAAGGUGUCAAGAGUUAAAUGGACUGAAACAAAACAAAAGAAACUGGAAGGCAAUGAGGUUUAUCUUAAUUCUAACCCUGAUUUGUAGUCUGAGAAGAACACAUCAUUUAGAAUCUCUGUGACUGGAUUUUUUUUUUCACCUUAGAAGAAAUGUCAUCAUAAUACCCAUCAUCUUCCACACAAG